CAGCCUGAAAGUAGGUUCAAUCUCCGCAACGGAAUUACAGAAAUUAUUAUAUGAAGAGUUCCAAGUAUUUCUCACCAUUCGCCAAGCAAAUGAAUAUACAUAUUUAAUUAAUUUAAAGAAAAACUAUGAAAUAGGAUUGAAACAGGUGAAAAAUAUGAGACCGAUAAUUGUUAUUUUGUCACAGAGAAAUACUGAAGAGAAUGAAAUCUCUAUUAAAAAUUAUAAUCUGUCGAGAGAAGUUUUCGUGGACAAAAUAGCGAGUUAUUUUACGGAAAUGUUCUUAGA